UAGUCGAAUCUUCGGCAAUGGGGGCAACCCUGACCGAGCAACGCCGCGUGAGUGAAGAAGGUUUUCGGAUCGUAAAGCUCUGUUGUAAGUCAAGAACGAGUGUGAGAGUGGAAAGUUCACACUGUGACGGUAGCUUACCAGAAAGGGACGGCUAACUACGUGCCAGCAGCCGCGGUAAUACGUAGGUCCCGAGCGUUGUCCGGAUUUAUUGGGCGUAAAGCGAGCGCAGGCGGUUUGAUAAGUCUGAAGUUAAAGGCUGUGGCUCAACCAUAGUUCGCUUUGGAAACUGUCAAACUUGAGUGCAGAAGGGGAGAGUGGAAUUCCAUGUGUAGCGGUGAAAUGCGUAGAUAUAUGGAGGAACACCGGUGGCGAAAGCGGCUCUCUGGUCUGUAACUGACGCUGAGGCUCGAAAGCGUGGGGAGCGAACAGGAUUAGAUACCCUGGUAGUCCACGCCGUAAACGAUGAGUGCUAGGUGUUGGGUCCUUUCCGGGACUCAGUGCCGCAGCUAACGCAUUAAGCACUCCGCCUGGGGAGUACGACCGCAAGGUUG
rnacentral:rRNA from 1 species